rnacentral:rRNA from 1 species
AUUGAACGCUGGCGGCAGGCCUAACACAUGCAAGUCGAACGAGUGGCGGACGGGUGAGUAAUGUCUGGGAAACUGCCUGAUGGAGGGGGAUAACUACUGGAAACGGUAGCUAAUACCGCAUACCAUCGGAUGUGCCCAGAUGGGAUUAGCUUGUUGGUGGGGUAACGGCUCACCUAGGCGACGCUCCCUAGCUGGUCUGAGAGGAGGACCAGCCACACUGGAACUGAGACACGGUCCAGACUCCUACGGGAGGCAGCCGUGGGGAAUAUUGCACAAUGGGCGCAAGCCUGAUGCAGCCAUGCCGCGUGUAUGAAGAAGGCCUUCGGGUUGUAAAGUACUUUCAGCGAGGAGGCGUUACUCGCAGAAGAAGCACCGGCUAACUCCGGGCCAGCAGCCGCGGUAAUAC